UACCUGAGGAAGGCAUGGGCUUCCAUGCUUCGGUUCAUAUUGCUAGAACAUAUUACCGCUACGCUGAUAUUGUUUAGCGCAGACAUUUCUUCGAAAUGGUUUACCGGUUAAAAAGAGGAGUGGUGCUAUCAGGUGCUAUGAAAAAAGGAAAAUAAUAAACGUAAUGUCACUUAACCACAAAGGACUUGUACAGAGGCGAAACUCCGGCGUUUUUCGAGAAUCGAUUAACAAAGCGCGUGCGUGUGCAAGUAGUUUUGACGUGAAGUAGUUUCUGAACUUUAGAGUACAGAGUAUCGAUAAUGAAAAACCGAGAAUAAAAUUUAAAUAAAACGCGGGACAAUACAACAAUGUUAACAAUAUAUUUUCAACUGUCGGGUAAGGCGUUUGGCAGAAAGAAGUCAUAGGAAAUUCAUCGUAUAGUGAUAAAUAUUGUUGAAAAUUUGAUUGCGUUCGUAUUAUUUACAUGCACAGCAUACACAGCUGUCCUUUCUCUACUAUAUUAUCACGUUACAACUUCACGCGAUAACGCCGACGCAGAACGCAACGCGAAUUAGGUGAGGACGCCACUAUGGCGUUCUGUAACCGAGUUUCCAAAAUUCACCAUACGAGAGCACUCGUGUCGCCAUAGAUUUUAUAUUUAAACAAACAGGAGCAUUUCGUUGGUACUGCUACUUGUACAUUUCAAAUUGAAGUGGAAUUAUGUUGAAAAUAAGUUGCAGAGUUUUGGGACUGCAUUCAGUAUGGAAUGACAUUCAUAGACAUGCGCGUUGGAAAUCGGUUCUGGAAAAAUUCACAGUCAGUGACAUCUGUAUGUGACAGGAAGUUACUUUUGUCCGUGGAAUCGACAGCCAAUAACGGAACAGGGGACGCGACGGUGCUGCUGUUAGUGAACAAAAUUAAUUUGUAUCGACUAUCGUCAACCAGUUUGAAAACCGGCGCUUGAACGACUUUAUUUGAAAAUUGCACAACGUUAAAGCAGAAUCAAGUUGCAGUUAUAACAGUCUGGUGUUCAAUAAUAAAGUGGAGUCAGGAUAAUUGAUGAGAUGAAUGUGUUAUGUUGCUGAAACUGUAAAGAAUUUCGUGGAUCAAUUUCAAGGACAUUGUACUUGUGCUUCAAUCUCUAAGAACAUUGGAUGACUUGGAGGAGGAAUGAGUAACUGAUAAGCAUACGAACAAUGAUCUUUGCUAUUGAAAUUAGAAAAUAAGUACUGUUUCUUACAAAAAUGCAUGUUAAAAAUUUAAUAUGCUUUAUUGAACUAUAAUAGAGUGUUGACGUCAUGUAAAAUCAUGCGAGCAUUUUUACUACACAUUAUAAUUCAACUAGAUUAUAAUGUAACUGGACUUAGCAAGUAAAUAAAAUAACAAUAUGAAAAUGUGUACUCCCAGAUGAAGACCAAUACCUGAAAAAAACAUUUUUUCCUCACAUACAUUUUUUUCUAAGAGGAGAGAUAAACAGGGAGCGAAACAUUGUUUUGGUUAAGACUGUUUUUCGAUGGGAAGAUUCGAGGACGGUCGUUGCCGGGUUUGGCAUUACACGAGCUGGUUGAUUGGCUUUUAUAAAAGAAAGAGUAGCGAGCAGCCUCCUCGCCGUUAAAUUGCAUAAUGUCGUACGGCCGCGGAUCUCUUGCAAAAUCGAGGAAUAAUGAGCAGCGUCGACAAUGAAAAUUGUAGGUUUCGGCUCCCAAAUUAAGGCGGAGCAGUUUGAGAAGCCUGAAUUCCCGGGUCGACCAAUUCUCGCUCACAAUUAGGCCCUUUUCCACUGCUGUUCAGUCGAAUCUCUUUCGUCAGUUUCAAUGAAACGUCGACCAUCAUUUCUUCGUCUUGUUCUUCACUCGCUCCUCCUCGUGACAUUGAAUAAUCUCCACUGCAUAACCGAACGGUUUACAAUUUGAAUUGGGUCGUUCAAAUUCUCCCAGUUUAGUCAAUCGCGAACAGGUAAAAUACAAAUUGUGUUUCUUACAAAGUUAUUGCCGAUAAAUUGGAAGAAGUCGCAAACCGUAAGGAAUUAUAUUGUGCAAAGCAUCAAUUACGACGACACGGAAUGGCCGUCAAUUUGCAUUUCGUUUUUUCUCUAACUGGAUGAUCGCCUCGUUGAUUGGAGAAACUCCUUUCGUCGCUUGCACCGGCGGACAAAUCGACGACUGACGAAACCAAUUUAGGCUUGGAAUCGUCUCUUUGUGACUGCCAUAAUAGACUUCGUUCAACGUGCAAUACCCCUUGCAGGGGAUACUCUGAACCGGUCAAACACGAACGGUAUAAACGCGGACCAUCGAUUCACCCGAAAUCCUGAGAAAGUUCUACAAAAAUAUCCAAUUAAACGGAUGCAAUGUUCAUCUUACACGAUACUAAAAAGUCUAAGCAAUCUUAAAAUCAGAAAGAAAUGAGAUCACGUUUCAAACAAAGGCUAGUCAAUUACUAUGAUCUGAAUCCAUCUGUGUCAGACUAAUUUUAGUCAUGGGAGGAUUUCGUCAGAUGCUAUAUUUGCCAUGUAAAACAUCGAAAAACAUUGACCUUGGUCUCAGUUCAACCGUGGUGUAAGAAGAACCAAAAACCAAAGUCAUCACUAGACAGCGGAUGGUGUGCACUUAUGACAAAAAUGAGUAGAUCAAUCUUAAAAUGGGAAAAGCACACAUUUAGAGAAUUUAAAAACAUUAUUGUAUUAUUCGCAACCUAUUAAAAUUGUUUAGAAAAUAAUUGAAUGUUUUAUAUAUUUUGCAGUUGAUGCAGACAAUUUUCAUUUUGCAUAAAAAUCCGCCGUCUAGUCACCGCUACCAGAGUCCACCUGCCACCUAAGAAAAUCUACGAGAAUUAUACUUUCUUAGAUAGAAUACGUAGCUUGUGCAAAAUCGAAAAGUUGACUUUGGUUUACCGCGAGUCCCCGCCAUCUUGGAAUCAGAAGCGCUUCGAUUUAAGGCCACGAUGCCAGCUAUCCGAAGAAUGUGGUAGAUCGCCCGUAGCCGUAGCUAAUAACUAGAAAUCGGAAUUCCGAUUGGCCAACUAAAAGCCGUCUAAAACGUGGAAUUCGCGAAUCCGUAAUUUCCGCGCGCGCCAAUGGCGGAAUGCGGCGUCCGGGCAUCGAA